ACAUCAUAGGAAAACUGCGUCUUCACUCCCUAGCAAGCAUCCAAAUCAUUGGAAUAUACUUCUGGCAGCACAUGAGAGUUUUCCAGAGACCUGGGCAGCAACAACCAAAAGAAGUAAUCUGAAGCAGACAGAAAAGCAAGCUAGCUCACUGAGUUCAGAUUCCCCUGACCUUCUGUAUUCUUUCUCAGCCCUUUUAAGGAAGAAAAGCUUCACGCCCAGUGCAAAGCCCGAUGCAGGGCUUGAACUCACAACCCUGAGAUCGAGACCUGAGCUGAGAUGGAGACCUGAGCUGAGAUCAAGAAUCCGAUGCUUAACUAACUGAGCCCCCCAGGUGGCCCGGAAACCCUCCUAUUUAGAACAAAUCAAUCAACAACA